CCUACGGGUGGCAGCAGUGAGGAAUAUUUGGCAAUGGGGGCAACCCUGACCCAGCCAUGCCGCGUGAGUGAAGACGGUCUUCGGAUUGUAAAGCUCUUUCGUACGUGACGAUGAUGACGGUAGCGUCUAAAUACGCACCGGCAAACUUCGUGCCAGCAGCCGCGUUAAUACGGCGGGUCCGAGCGUGGUUCGGAGUUACUGGGCGUAAAGGGAGUGUAGGCGGAUAUGUAAGAUAGCGGUGAAAUGCCGGGGCUCAACCCCGGAACUUACAGUAUGACUAUGUAUCUAGAGUAAUGGAGAGGAAAGCGGAAUACCCAGGGUAGAGGUGAAAUUCGUAGAUAUUGGGUAGAACACCGGUGGCGAAGGCGGCUAUCUGGCCAUUUACUGACGCUGAGGCUCGAAAGCAUGGGGAUCAAACAGGAUUAGAUACCCCUGUAGUC
rnacentral:rRNA from 1 species